rnacentral:rRNA from 1 species
UACGUAGGGGGCUAGCGUUAUCCGGAAUUACUGGGCGUAAAGGGUGCGUAGGUGGUUUCUUAAGUCAGAGGUGAAAGGUUACGGCUCAACCCGUACUGGCUCUGGAAACUGAUCAGCUAGAGAACAGAAGAGGACGGCGGAACUCCAUGUGUAGCGGUAAAAUGCGUAGAUAUAUGGAAGAACACCGGUGGCGAAGGCGGCCGUCUGGUCUGGAUUCUGACACUGAAGCACGAAAGCGUGGGGAGCAAAUAGG